GCUGAUCGUCUGCAGACUUUUCUAAUCAGACCCUCUCAGGACAUAUGGCUGCAGUUGUGGCAACUGUCUUAUUCUUUGUUUUAUUUUGGUAACCUUUGUUCCAGUUAGCUCUCAAGGCAACCAACCCAAUCUAAAAAAGCAGCAACGUUAAUAACUGAAUGGUCUGAUUAUGUCGUCAUAUUCAUCUGACAUUGUCAGGUGCAGACUGAUAUUAAGACCUUAAAAUGUAUAAACGGAUAUUCUUUUGUAUUUAUCUUCCAUC
rnacentral:lncRNA from 1 species